UACGUAGGGCGCAAGCGUUGUCCGGAAUUAUUGGGCGUAAAGAGCUCGUAGGUGGCUUGUCACGUCGGGUGUGAAAGCUUGGGGCUUAACUCCAGGUCUGCAUUCGAUACGGGCUGGCUAGAGGUAGGUAGGGGAGAACGGAAUUCCUGGUGUAGCGGUGAAAUGCGCAGAUAUCAGGAGGAACACCGGUGGCGAAGGCGGUUCUCUGGGCCUUACCUGACGCUGAGGAGCGAAAGCAUGGGGAGCGAACAGG
rnacentral:rRNA from 1 species